GUACGGGGGGGGCAAGCGUUGUUCGGAAUUACUGGGCGUAAAGGGCUCGUAGGCGGCCAACUAAGUCAGACGUGAAAUCCCUCGGCUUAACCGGGGAACUGCGUCUGAUACUGGAUGGCUUGAGUUCGGGAGAGGGAUGCGGAAUUCCAGGUGUAGCGGUGAAAUGCGUAGAUAUCUGGAGGAAUACCGGUGGCGAAGGCGGCAUCCUGGACCGACAUUGACGCUGAUGAGCGAAAGCUAGGGGAGCAAACGGG
rnacentral:rRNA from 1 species